UAGGGAAUCUUCGGCAAUGGACGAAAGUCUGACCGAGCAACGCCGCGUGAGUGAAGAAGGUUUUCGGAUCGUAAAACUCUGUUGUUAGAGAAGAACAAGGACGUUAGUAACUGAACGUCCCCUGACGGUAUCUAACCAGAAAGCCACGGCUAACUACGUGCCAGCAGCCGCGGUAAUACGUAGGUGGCAAGCGUUGUCCGGAUUUAUUGGGCGUAAAGCGAGCGCAGGCGGUUUCUUAAGUCUGAUGUGAAAGCCCCCGGCUCAACCGGGGAGGGUCAUUGGAAACUGGGAGACUUGAGAGCAGAAGAGGAGAGUGGAAUUCCAUGUGUAGCGGUGAAAUGCGUAGAUAUAUGGAGGAACACCAGUGGCGAAGGCGGCUCUCUGGUCUGUAACUGACGCUGAGGCUCGAAAGCGUGGGGAGCAAACAGG
rnacentral:rRNA from 2 species